rnacentral:rRNA from 1 species
GACGUAGGGCGCAAGCGUUGUCCGGAUUUAUUGGGCGUAAAGAGCUCGUAGGCGGCUUGUUGCGUCGACCGUGAAAACCCGUGGCUCAACUGCGGGCUUGCGGUCGAUACGGGCGGGCUAGAGUUCGGUAGGGGAGACUGGAAUUCCUGGUGUAGAGGUGAAAUUCGUAGAUAUCAGGAGGAACACCGGUGGCGAAGGCGGCUUUCUGGACACUUACGUGACGCUGAGGCACGAAGGCCAGGGGAGCAAACCGGGAGUUAAAUACCC